UUUCCAGCCCAGCCCACCCCUCCUCAGGCACUCUUCCAUUGGAUCCUCCUCGCAAGCAGCUGGAUCAAUUUACUCUAGCCUACGGUGCACACUCUACAAGCACGGACUGAAUUAUUACUCAUGGAAAUCCCCUCUGUUUUCAGUCUUUGAACAAGGGAAUCAGGAACCUGUUUUGUUCAUUGUGGCCACUGCAUAGAAACUGCUUUCAUUUUGGGGAGUGAGAGAGUGGGAGACAAUCAGGGUAAGUGACUUGCCCAGGGACAC
rnacentral:lncRNA from 1 species